GAGGGAGAGGAGAGAGAAAACGUGCGCACAGUGGGCAGCGGCUUUCCAGCGCGAUUUCGGCUUCAUCCGAUGUCCGAUCGAGGCGAUUCAGGUGGCGUUAGAAAGCUUGUUCCGAGAGCUUUCUUUUGAUACCCAUUUUGCAGCAAAUGGAGGUCGGAUGAGUGAGAUAUGGAGGAGAGAAGUUUCGGGUUUUUCAAGCUUUUUCGUCAGAUCUACGACGAUCCGACCGUUGGAUCGACGAUCCGAAACCACCUAUGGACUGAGGAAGAGGAGAGGAACAUGGUGGUAUGAUCAGAUCCGGCAAAUGUCGCCGACACCCGGUGGCCGGCCACCGUGCACGGUGGUUUCGGCGGUGGCUCCUGUGGGCUAUGGAGAUGAUUCAACUUCCAGAGGCUUCCUCGUAAAUUUUUGGAAUUUUUGAGACACAGAUAAACUUUGGGUGAUCGAGGUCAGCUAUUUUUCUGCAUUCAGCAGCCACAAUAGUCAUCGGUGUACUGCCACAGGAGGAGUUAUUUUACAGAGCAACCUGUUUUCUUCCUCACAGGUUUAACGUCGGUUAUUUAAUUGUUUUACUAUCUUUUCUAAAUUUAAAAAUCUAAAACUCCGCAUGUGAUAGUAAUAGUGUGGACCUUAUUAGGAAUCAUGUUAAUUUAAAUUUUUCAGAUUAAUAAAUGAAGAUUUGUAUGGUAUUUAAACAGUUUGUAAAAUGAGGUAACAGGGUUGAGCUGGGCUCCCCUAAUUUUAGUCUCUGAUGAUUUCUGGGCUAAGUUGGCCCGAAAUAAAAUUAUAACAGUUUAUUUUAAAUUAUUUUUAUAUGCAUAUUGGGCCUAAAUUGUGGGCUUGGUUAUGGGUUGAGGAAUAGUUAGGCUUACUACGGGCCUCGGGGGCUUUAGGCUGGCCCAGGUCCUAGUGCCGG